CGUAGGUAACCUGCCUUGUAGCGGGGGAUAACUAUUGGAAACGAUAGCUAAUACCGCAUAACAAUGGAUGACACAUGUCAUUUAUUUGAAAGGAGCAAUUGCUCCACUACAAGAUGGACCUGCGUUGUAUUAGCUAGUAGGUGAGGUAAUGGCUCACCUAGGCGACGAUACAUAGCCGACCUGAGAGGGUGAUCGGCCACACUGGGACUGAGACACGGCCCAGACUCCUACGGGAGGCAGCAUG
rnacentral:rRNA from 1 species